UUACCUACGGGACGCAGCAGUCGGGAAUAUUGCGCAAUGGAGGAAACUCUGACGCAGUGACGCCGCGUAUGGGAAGAAGGUUUUCGGAUUGUAAACCAUUGUCGUUAGGGAAGAAGAAGUGACAGUACCUAAGGAGGAAGCUCCGGCUAACUAUGUGCCAGCAGCCGCGGUAAUACGUAGGGGGCAAGCGUUAUCCGGAUUUACUGGGUGUAAAGGGAGCGUAGACGGCAGUGCAAGUCUGGAGUGAAAGGCGGGGGCUCAACCCCCGGACUGCUCUGGAAACUGUACGGCUGGAGUGCAGGAGG
rnacentral:rRNA from 1 species